CGUCUCCUCCUCAGCUCCUCAAGGCAGCCCAAGACAACUGGAAUUCGGGUGUUGACUUUUGGCAAAUAUUUUAAGAGCAGUGAACACUUAAGAGCUUUGUGCAGUUCCCCGCAGAGGUGUCAAGGUUUCCUAAGGAUUUAGCCUAUUGUGAGUGUGUGCCGCCUAAGAAAACUCUGCUUUUGAGAGUGAUGUCCCAGAAAAGCCAGGUAAUACCAGGGAGGUGAGCCUCCUGUCUGCAGGAGCCUAGCAAGUCUUAUAUCCUUUCUUCACACGGCACCGCUGAUGAUGGGAUGAUGGGGAAGCAACAACACCGAGAUGGGAGAUGGGACCACAGACAGACGCGUCAGCCAUUUCGAUGUGCUUUUCACAUGAGCAAAGGAUGGAUGAUCUGCACAUUAGUGACUCACCACGUACUGACGACCUGAGACUUCUUGCUUUUGCCUGUUAUUAACAUUUUCAUGUAUUUUUGCCUUGUCUGCUCUGGCAGUUCCUGAAGAAUUGGACUGUCUUGUGGGUCUCUUGCCUCCCACUUGAUACCUAUUACACACAGAAGCCCGUCUAUGGAAAGGUAACUAACUGAUUAACUAGUGUUUGCAACUUCUUGCUCCACCCUCCUUGUCAAUGAAGGCGAGUCCGACUUGUAAAUUUUUGAAAUGUAGCCAACAAUUUUGUAAACACUUGGGGAAUUUUCUAAAUGUUCGGCCAGUUUAGUGAUGCCCGAAUUUUAAUGAAACUUCUUUCAUGCUA